UACAAGCCUAGUGUAAUGGCAACACGCCAGUCUCCAAAACUGGUUAUGAAGGUUCGAGUCCUUCGGCUUGUGU
rnacentral:tRNA from 1 species